rnacentral:tRNA from 1 species
UGGGGAUUCGCCAAGUCGGUAAGGCACAGGACUUUGACUCCUGCAUUCACUGGUUCGAGUCCAGUAUCCCCAGCCA